CAGCUAACGGAAAAGUAUUCCAAUUCGGUUUAACGGCCCGGCAGAUCCGGUCGGCAGAAUCCGAAAAACGGACUAAUACUUGAAAUCACUGGCGAGACAUUCCCCCCACUGUCUGGCCAGUCGAGACCGUGAGGACCGCGUUCUCGAAACUCCUAAUGGUCUUGACCCGGCUCCCUCAGGCCGG
rnacentral:sRNA from 1 species